GUACCCGCUGAACUUAAGCAUAUCAAUAAGCGGAGGAAAAGAAGCCAACAGGGAUUGCCCUAGUAACGGCGAGUGAAGCGGCAACAGCUCAAAUUUGAAAUCUGGCUCUUUCAGAGUCCGAGUUGUAAUUUGCAGAGGGCGCUUUGGCUUUGGCAGCGGUCCAAGUUCCUUGGAACAGGACGUCACAGAGGGUGAGAAUCCCGUACGUGGUCGCUAGCUAUUGCCGUGUAAAGCCCCUUCGACGAGUCGAUGUUUGGGAAUGCAGCUCUAAAUGGGAGGUAAAUUUCUUCUAAAGCUAAAUAUUGGCCAGAGACCGAUAGCGCACAAGUAGAGUGAUCGAAAGAUGAAAAGCACUUUGGAAAGAGAGUCAAACAGCACGUGAAAUUGUUGAAAGGGAAGCGCUUGCAGCCAGACUUGCUUGCAGUUGCUCAUCCGGGCUUUUGCCCGGUGCACUCUUCUGUAGGCAGGCCAGCAUCAGUUUGGGCGGUGGGAUAAAGGUCUCUGUCACGUACCUCUCUUCGGGGAGGCCUUAUAGGGGAGACGACAUACCACCAGCCUAGACUGAGGUCCGCGCAUCUGCUAGGAUGCUGGCGUAAUGGCUGUAAGCGGCCCGUCUUGAAACACGGACCAAGGAGUCUAACAUCUAUGCGAGUGUUUGGGUGUCAAGCCCGAGCGCGUAAUGAAAGUGAACGGAGGUGGGAACCCGCAAGGGUGCACCAUCGACCGAUCCUGAAGUUUACGGAAGGAUUUGAGUAAGAGCAUGGCUGUUGGGACCCGAAAGAUGGUGAACUAUGCUUGAAUAGGGUGAAGCCAGAGGAAACUCUGGUGGAGGCUCGCAGCGGUUCUGACGUGCAAAUCGAUCGUCAAAUUUGGGCAUAGGGGCGAAAGACUAAUCGAACUAUCUAGUAGCUGGUUCCUGCCGAAGUUUCCCUCAGGA
rnacentral:rRNA from 1 species